GACGAACGCUGGCGGCGUGCCUAAUACAUGCAAGUUGAGCGAUGAAGCUUGGUGCUUGCACCCAUUUGAAGAGCAGCGAACGGGUGAGUAACGCGUGGGGAAUCUGCCUUUGAGCGGGGGACAACAUUUGGAAACGAAUGCUAAUACCGCAUAAUAACUUUAAACAUAAGUUUUAAGUUUGAAAGAUGCAAUUGCAUCACUCAAAGAUGAUCCCGCGUUGUAUUAGCUAGUUGGUGAGGUAAAGGCUCACCAAGGCGAUGAUACAUAGCCGACCUGAGAGGGUGAUCGGCCACAAUGGGACUGAGACACGGCCCAAACUCCUACGGGAGGCAGCAGGAGGGAAACUUCGGAAAUGGACGAAAGUCUGACCGAGCAACGCCGCGUGAGGGAAGAAGGUUUUCGGAUCGUAAAACUCUGUUGGUAGAGAAGAACGUUGGUGAGAGUGGAAAGCUCAUCAAGUGACGGUAACUACACAGAAAGGGACGGCUAACUACGUG
rnacentral:rRNA from 1 species